rnacentral:misc_RNA from 1 species
UUCCAAAUCGCACCAUCUAUCAGGAUUUGUUGGUAAUGGGGAUUGCUCGAACUUGAAUCAGGAAAGUAGAGCAUGCAAUGGUGGUUCCCCGUUUGAAAUUAUUGAUAAACGGAGUAUGAAAAUCAAGCAUACCCCUGUGAUGCUACGAUGGAAAUUUAGGAGGAAUCAAAGCUUAAAUCCAUGGAAAAAUCAUGGAGAUCAGAUUCCUGCAUGGAUUACGCCUACUCGGGGAGAUUUAGACUCUUCUAAAUUUCGGGAUUCAGAAGGGCCUAUUAAGGAAAAGUGUAAGGAUGUCGAUAAAAUAAAUGAUGAAGCUAAGGGGUCCAG